rnacentral:rRNA from 1 species
UACGUAGGGGGCAAGCGUUGUCCGGAAUUAUUGGGCGUAAAGAGCGUGUAGGCGGUCCGGUAAGUCAGCUGUGAAAGUCAAGGGCUCAACCCUUGAAAGCCGGUUGAUACUGUCGGGCUAGAGUCCGGAAGAGGCGAGUGGAAUUCCCGGUGUAGCGGUGAAAUGUGCAGAUAUCGGGAGGAACACCAAUGGCGAAGGCAGCUCGCUGGGACGGUACUGACGCUGAGACGCGAAAGCGUGGGGAGCAAACAGG